GACGAACGCUGGCGGCGUGCUUAACACAUGCAAGUCGAACGGAAAGGCCCUGCUUUUGUGGGGUGCUCGAGUGGCGAACGGGUGAGUAACACGUGAGUAACCUGCCCUUUACUUUGGGAUAACUUCAGGAAACUGGGGCUAAUACCGGAUAUGAGCUCCUGCUGCAUGGUGGGGGUUGGAAAGUUUCGGCGGUUGGGGAUGGACUCGCGGCUUAUCAGCUUGUUGGUGGGGUAGUGGCUUACCAAGGCUUUGACGGGUAGCCGGACUGAGAGGGUGACAGGCCACAUUGGGACUGAGAUACCGCCCAGACUCCUACGGGAGGCAGAAGUGGGGAAUAUUGCACAAUGGGCGGAAGCCUGAUGCAGCAACGCCGCGUGCGGGAUGACGGCCUUCGGGUUGUAACCCGCUUUCGCCUGUGACGAAGCGUGAGUGACGGUAAUGGGUAAAGAAGCACCGGCUAACUACGUG
rnacentral:rRNA from 1 species